UACGAAGGGGGGCUAGCGUUGCUCGGAAUCACUGGGCGUAAAGGGUGCGCAGGUGGUUUGGCAAGUUUGAUGUGAAAGCCCCCGGGCUUAACCCGGGAAUGGCAUUGAAUACUGCUUGAACUGGAGGGUCGGAGGGGGGGACUGGAAUUCUUGGUGUAGCAGUGAAAUGCGUAGAUAUCAAGAGGAACACCAGUGGCGAAGGCGAGUCCCUGGACGAUACCUGACACUGAGGCACGAAAGCCAAGGGAGCAAACAGG
rnacentral:rRNA from 1 species